AACUGAUAAGAGCUUUUGUAGAUUUUAGUAAUGAUGUCCCUGAAUACCAAGUGAGCUGCAUCUAAAGAGACCCACAGGAAUUAAUAAAAAUGUCUCCAAUUUCAUGGCCGCAGUGGUUUCCUGCUUUUGAGAGAUCACAAAAGAAAAUCACUGAAUGCCACAAUUUAAUUAUGUAUUUCAGGGUGUCUCUGGAUGUAUUGCUCCUUUUUGGAAAUUCUGCAUCCCCAUUCUGGUCCCUCUCUUUGUCUUUCCCCAUCAUUCCACGUCACGCUUUCAUUUUUCUUUUACUUUCUCUCAGCACUCAUUUCCAUUUCUUUUCCUCUUUUUUUUUUCUUAUUUCAAAUUUCUCAUUCAGAUCUCAUCCCCUGUCCUUUCUGUCUUGCCCGGCCCCCUCCUUUUUUUGUACCCUUGUGUUCUCUUUUAUAUUGCUGCCUCUCUCCACCAGUGCUCUGAUUCAUUCCUCCUCUGCUUCACUCUUUUACAUGGGCAGGUGGCAGAGCAGCUGGCCUACUAUGGCCAUGUGUCAGAGACAGUAAUCACAGAGGAGAUGUUUGACGCCGCUGUGCAAUUUGGCACAGUGCAGGGUGACCCCACCCAGAGCUGAGCAAGACGACCUGUUUGGAUAGCCCCCCGGUUGCCCCAAGCACCGACUGGGAAAGGAGCAUCAAGGACGGCUCACCUCACACCUCAACGGCCUCGCAGGUGGGCUCCUCAGGGGAAGAGGGGGAGACGGUUGGCUGUCAAAUGACACGAGGCGGCAGAUCUACAAAAGGUAAAACUACUGGCUGAAGACACAACUCUGGCCAGGAAUCCAAGGCCCAAAGCCACCGCGGUCAGGGUUGUUAGCCUGGUUACAAACAGGGGAAAGGUGGUCACUUGGAAGAACAAGCAGCCAAAACGUAUCAAUCCUGCAUCUUCCUCAAAAAGGUUUGCUACCAACCUUUUCAGGCCUGACUUCGUUCGAGGCUGGGUCUCCACAUCACAUCCUGGGAGCUGGAACUUCCCCAAAACUGGUCCAGUUUCCUUGUCAGGGGCACAGAGAGUCUCCAGUCCAGUGUUUGUUUUCCUGCCUUCCAGCACAUCCACUCACAUCCCAAUAAGAAUGAGUCCUCCCUCCAACAUCCUCAGUUUACUUUAAAAGCAAAACCAGGCCAGGUUAAAAAUCUUCUCCAUUAAAAUGUGCACACUUCAUCCUGGAUCUUCGAGGCUUCCCUGCUUCAUCAGUGUCCUACUAAAAAAAUAACGACAACCCCUACUUCCUGUUUCCUCUCCCCUUUAUAGAGAAGGGCUCCAAUCCUCCCCAAUCAGCUGCUCCCUGUAUUCAACUCCAAAUAGCUGGCAGCUGGACUAGAGUAGAAUCUCCACUCCCACAUGGGUGUGGCCCACACCUCACAUCAAACACAAAAAAAACACCAAAGCAUGCAAUUAAUACAAAACAAAAUCUAAAGAAAUGCCAACCCAAAAGCUUAGUGGGGGAUUCUCUCCAUCCUUUUCCACCAUGCUAUACUCUGUAACAGUACCGUUAAGAAAUUAUGCUUGCCCUGCUGGCCACUAACUUCCUCUCCACACUGAAAAGAUUGAUAAUGCAGCACUAACUAUGUGUACAUAGUAAUCUCACUUUGAUUAUUUGAACAUUGUCGUUAUUCAUAACGUUAAACUUCUAAACUUUAUGUCAAGCUGACUGUUCAGAACACACCUGUAUGUUAACAAGUUCUGGAAAAGCUAGAUGGUUAUGUUAAGCAUUUUUUUCAGAGAGUGUGUUGCUGUGAAUUUUGGGAUAACAUUACUUCCCUCCAGAUUAGAUGGUUCGGUGUAUCUUUUGGAAAAGGAGGUAAGAAAGGAGGUGUUGAAGCACCUUUUCACAGUGUUUAAAUCUUUUUAUGGCCACCACUCAGAUACUUCCUUCACCCAUUUAAGCCACAGUCACACAGGCCUGUCAGUAGCUAUCGCCUGGCAACCACCGUUGCUUGGUAAAAAUGUUUAUUCCCUGACCGGUAAGCAAAUGGUUGCUGGAAGGUGCCCGCUGUCGCUAGGUGAAAUUUGUUACAAAGUGGUAAAUGGUGCUACACUUUUUACAAGUCAACUCGUCUCUUUCCAUGUAAGCCAUGGUUGACUGUGGCAAUGAAAGUAAUCAGUGCUGCACCCUCUGUGUGGCCGAUUUCCCCAACUGACAGCCAGCAACCUCCAGCAACCUCCAGCAACAAUUUGCCUACCAUUUAGGGAAUACAAUUGGGCUGGAGACGUCCCAUGUGACUGAAGACUUAGCAAAAUUCUUUAAAAGCAAGAUGUGGACACAAAUCGUUACUCGGAACCAAGAUUGUUCAAGAAUUUCAUUAAACAGUUGAAAAUGAAAUGUUUUUAACUACCUGACAUGGAAAAGCCACACCAAAAUAGGGUGUACAUAGGGUACCACCAUGUUCAGCUAUAGGCUGAGCUAAACACAUUUUGUUAAUUUGCCCUCGCUAAUCCUACUCAUCUGUUUUUAUUUAGAUGAAUUUUGAUUCUACUUUGUUUCACCCUGGAUUCACCAAAGUCCGUCUCUCCCUCUUUCAGCCUCCCAUUUCCACUGUGAGCAGCAACUAUAAACUUUUGUGUCUUCAGGAUUACCUUUCCAUCACGGGAUGAAUGAAGUGUGAAAAGCAAUCUGAGAAUCGCCAGGCCACUUCUGCGGAUGCAAUUAUGCCAAUGGCAGAUCAUUUUCUGACCUUUAUCCUCCAGCCAGUGUUGAUGGCAGUUUGCCACUGUGACAGACUGCUUUUUGUUUUCAUGUAUUUUACAGUUGUGUGACAGCUGAAAACCUGGCUCUUAAAGGCUGAGGUGCUCAUCCGUUUGAAAGACAGCCUGACUUUUUGUGCUGCUCUUUUUCUUUCGCUCUCUAUUUACUUAUGUUGUGUAUGUCCCUGUCAGUGUAACAUUCUCAUUAUUUCUUUACUGCCACUUCUGUCUCCUUCCCUCUCUCUCUUCCUCUGUAUUUUUUGUCCCAUUUCUCUCUUUCUGUCUCCGUAUUACGUGUAUUUCUAUCAGGUAUUUUCCAAAGUCUGUGUCCAGGACCAAACCAGUGUUUUUGUUCUGGCUGAUGCCUUCAUUCAAAGGUUCACGGUCCUGCUUCAGGUAAAUUGCUCCUUCUGACAAACAACCACGAGCACAGAUACAGACACACACCUUUGAACGUAGUGUUGUAGUCCAGUUUCUCAAUUCUGCAGGUUUGUGCUUUUCCAUCCAUUUCAUCUUGUUGUCAAGCUGGUUUUGUCACGUGUUGUAUUUUUGCAUUUGCACAUAGUCCUGUUUACCUGUGCUCAUAUGUUUUUGCUAUUUUGCAAACUGGUGAGCUGUCAUCUCUCAUGGAAUACAUAGUCUGUCUCAUUUGUGAAGAUUUCCUGCAUUAUUUUUUUUUAAAUUCCUGUUUCCCUUUUCCUCCUCAAUUAAAAUCAAAAUACAAA
ensembl:lncRNA